rnacentral:rRNA from 1 species
CGCGUAGGCGGCUCCUUAAGUCAGGCGUGAAAGCCCGAGGCUCAACCUCGGAAGUGCGUCUGAAACUAGGGAACUUGAGUACGGGAGAGGGAAGUGGAAUUCCUGGUGUAGAGGUGAAAUUCGUAGAUAUCAGGAGGAACACCGGUGGCGAAGGCGACUUCCUGGACCGAUACUGACGCUGAGGCGCGAAAGCGUGGGGAGCAAACA